rnacentral:rRNA from 1 species
AUUGAACGCUGGCGGCAGGCCUAACACAUGCAAGUCGAACGAGUGGCGGACGGGUGAGUAAUGUCUGGGAAACUGCCUGAUGGAGGGGGAUAACUACUGGAAACGGUAGCUAAUACCGCAUACCAUCAGAUGUGCCCCGAUGGGAUUAGCUAGUUGGUGGGGAAACGGCUCACCAAGGCGACGAUCCCUAGCUGGUCUGAGAGGCUGAACGACCACACUGGAACUGAGACACGGUCCAGGCUCCUACGGUAGGCAGCAGUGGGGAAUAGUGCACAAUGGGCGCAAGCCUGACGCAGCCAUGCCGCGUGUAUGAAGAAGGCCUUCGGGUUGUAAAGUACUUUCAGCGGUGAGGCGUUACCCGCAGAAGAAGCACCGGCUAACUCCGUGCCAGCAGCGGCGGUAAUUC